rnacentral:rRNA from 1 species
GGCUCAGACAGCCAGGAUGUUGGCUUAGAAGCAGCCAUCAUUUAAAGAAAGCGUAAUAGCUCACUGGUCGAGUCGGCCUGCGCGGAAGAUGUAACGGGGCUAAGUAGUAAACCGAAGCUGCGGCAAUGCACUUUUGUGCAUUGGGUAGGGGAGCGUUCUGUAAGCGGUUGAAGGUGUGUGGUAACGCAUGCUGGACGUAUCAGAAGUGCGAAUGCUGACAUGAGUAACGAUAAAGGGGGUGAAAAACCUCCUCGCCGGAAGACCAA